AAAAAAUGAGUUAGAAUAGCCAAAAUAUUAAUGUAUCAAUAUUGCGAAAUAAAUGACAAAAUAAUAUUUUAGUAUGCUAAAUUGAUAAUAAUAUUUUUAAAAUGAAGAAAACCAUUGGAGACGUUAUUUCAGCAACUCCAAUAGAGUUGGUAUCUUAGUUCCUUGUGCCAUUUAACAAGUUAAAGCCAAAUAUAAAAUAAUUGUAGAGGCUUUGUUUACCUCUUUGACCAUUUUCUUUUUUAUUGAGACUGGAGAUGAAAAUAAUGGUUUGGUCUUGGUGCCUCUUCCUAUUAAAUAUACUCUAAUUUUAAUUUUAUUAUAUCAAAGUUAUAACAAAAUUAUUAAUACUUUCUACCAAUAAUUGUAGUUGUCAUUUCCAUAGCAUUACACUUUUAGUUUUUUUUUUAUCGGAGUGUAGUUUAGGCAUCUAUUUAAAAAAAUUAUAAUAAAGUUAAAAAGUAAAGUGCAUUCUGUAAAAAAGUAGAAUAACUUUUUGUCAAAUUAGAUGUAAAAAUUUAUAUUGUUAGACUCUUUUUCUUUUUUUUUUGAUAAAAUAGUGAAAAAAUAAUCAUAAAAAAACUAAAAGCAGUUAAAAGAAUUCCAAAAAAACCUCACUCCAAACAUAGCCUAAUUAUUUGUAGAUAAAAAUAGAAAAUCUGUUGAAGUAGCUUUAAAAAAAAAUCCCUAAAUUGAAAAAUAAUGACAGGAGAGUGCGGAAGCGGCCUUUGCCCACCAAAAUUUGAAAGGGUAAAUUACACUAACCUCCCCUGAUGUUUUGAGUUAAUACAUAAAGUACCUAUGACGUUUAAAAAAUUAUAGUGACCUCUUAUGAGGUUUGAAAUUUGUAACAGAUUCUCCUUAUUUUAUACUGAAUACCCCUGAAGUUAUGAGUUAAUACCCAAAGAACCCUGACAAAGUUAUUUUUUUUUCUUUUUGACAAAUAGUGUUGAUUUGACGUCAGGAGUAUUUUGUGUAUUAACCUGAAACUUUAAGAGUGGUCAGUGUAAAAUGAAGAAUCUGUUACAAGUUUCAAACUCAGGAGAAGUCAUUGUAAUUUAUCAAAUAUCAGAUACUUUGUGUAUUAACUUGAACCUCAGCGGAAGUCAGUGUAAUUUACCCAAUUUGAAAUCUAUAGCACAGGAGGGAAAAUAUUAGCAUCAAUUUCUCUAUGUAGACUGUAAAACGGCACAAGCCGCACAGCAGUGUCUUCUUCUAGGGUUAUACACACAUCUCUCUCUCUCU
rnacentral:lncRNA from 1 species